ensembl:lncRNA
CUCAGAAUUUGUCCCAAGGGCCACCUCUUGACCCGUAGGGGAUGCCGGCCUUCCUGUCUCCCUGACACCCCCUCCACUGGGACGCCAGCAAGGUCUGUGUAAAAAGCAGACCUUUCUAGAGCUGGUGGAGCUCCACUUUAGACAAAUCGGAACAUUCGAGGUCCACAGAGAGAGUGUAGUGUCCUCCAAAGAAUGAGGUCAGGGUCGGCAGACCUGGGUGUGUGAGGCCCUGCGUCCACUCCUGCCUCUGAAACCUCAGAGGGGGAAACUGAGGCACAGAGAUGCUAAGACCCUGCCCAGAGCCAGCCAUCAAGGAGGCAGCCGUCCUGCAUUCACUGGGCGUGGACUUUGUGCGCACCGCUGGUCCCACAGAUGGGCGCACCGGGGCCCGGGGGUGCACAGUGGGAGGUGCAGAGUGGGAGCCGGCGUGGGUGGGGGCAGUGAGGAGGCGCAAGCCCCUGCCUCUCUGGCCUCCCCUGUAGGGUCCCCACCCACCACCGGCCAGCUCCUUUCUGCUCAUCCCGCCUGGACCUCCCCUCCCUGGCCCCCGCCCCAGUCCCUCUGUCCUGGCCAAAUUCUCAGCUUAACAGUGACUUCUCAGGGGUCCUUCCCAGACCCCCCCACUGUAGAUUGGGGCCCCCUUUCACCUCUCCCAGCGGCCUCUGCCCCGGAGCGCUGGUCACGGUUUGCCUUCUCCCUCUGGUCUGUGGCUGUCGGACUGAGGUCUUCGGGAGACCGUCAGCUCCGAGGGGCGGGACCCUCAGCCUCACCCAGCACACGGCCGGCACGUGGCAGGUGCACAGCCCAGUGCGGGACGAGUGAAGAGAGAGGAGCAAAGGCAUGAAGGGAUGCAGGCAUGCUCCAGCCGAGACGCUGCAGGGCGGCUGGAAGGGGGCACGGGGUUGUCAGCUGUGGCGGCUGCGGUUCUUUUUUCUCACUGAAGAGGAACGUGUGAUGAUCGUGGAAGGAAUGCUUGGCUGUCACUCCCCAGCGAAGCGGCUGAUCUCUUGUAUUUUGACUGUCCCAUCCCACAUCUGGGAGAAGAACUUUCCUCCCUCUAGGGGGUGGGGGCCAUGACACCUUGUCUGCCCUGGUGAUCCUGGGUGCUCUCCGUCCCUCUGAAGCAAGCAGGGGAUCCAGCCUCCCAGCCCUGGGCCGGCACUUUGCACCGGUGGCCGAUGUUGAGGCUGCAGACUGCCUGAGAGAGCAGCUCAGGCGCAGAGGGAGGAAGCACCAGGGCUGAGAUGGGGAGGGGUCCGCAUCGCUGCGCUUUCUCCAGUGGUCUCCUUCUGGCUCCUCCAGGUGCAGGAAAAGAGCCGUGUAGGCAAGCCUGUGGUGUCUGACCCCAAGCAGCAGGGGAGGGUUCUGGGCUCUCAGUGUCCCCCACAGCUUUCUCCCCUUCCCAGAAGAUAGCAGGACUUUAUGUUCCGGUCCUUCUUCAGGCUUUGGUAGCAGGGAGUAGAGAGCAGAGUUUGCUGAAGGACGACCCAGGCUUGGAGGGAGCGUGGCUGAGGUGGUAGGCGCUGGCCAGAAGGUAGGAUCUCUGCCCGUGUGGAUUGGACCCUGGAUGCUGAGGCCUCCUCGUCUCCAAAAGACCCCUCUGCCCCAUCUCUUGGCCACUGCCCUCAAGGGACCCCGAGGGUCUGUAUAUCAGGGGCCAGGGGCCAGGGCCAAGUUGUCAGGGUUGGAAGCACCCCAUCCCGUUUGCUGGCGUGUCCCUCUAUCCUCUCUGUGCCUCAGUGUCCUCGUCUGAAGACUGGGGACAGGCAGAAGACCCUGUAAUCUGCAGCGGGAUGAUUUCAACACACAGAGCAGUUGAUCCAUGCCUUGAACAGCCGGUGCUCACACAGUACCCAGGAAGCACUCAAUAAAUGCUUGCUGUUCAUGGCACCUGUGGCUUUGGCCCUCUGCUCCCUGUGCUGGGCCGGGCCGAGGUGACGGAACUGCAUGCACGCCCUGCACGCCCUGCUUUAGAUCCUGUCCCCAGAGGGGUCCUGAGCCGGAGGAGGCUAUUUCUGUUUGCACAAAAAAGAAGCUGCAGAAAAAAAGCAGCUUUCCUGAGGCGGGGAAAGAUUCCAAGAAGCAGGUCCAUCGGGCGAUGGUGGCCCAGAGAAGUGAUGACCACGUGGCCACCGUGGGUGACCGGGAGCCACUGUGGCACACUGCUGGCUUGAGGGCUUGUGGCUCUCCGUCGUGUGUCAUUUGACCUCUCCAGUGGGCAAUGUG